rnacentral:misc_RNA from 1 species
AAAGUCGUAACAAGGUUUCCGUAGGUGAACCUGCGGAAGGAUCAUUACAAUUCAGUAGCUUGCUACUGGUCGGGAGUCGCUGUAAGUCCGCAUAGUUUAAUUACUGAUGAGCGGCAGGCACUCUGUCUGAACCCUUGUCUUUUGCGCACUCUUGUUUCCUCGGCGGGCUUGCCCGCCGAUUGGACAAAACUAUAACCUUUUUAAUUUUCAAUCAGCGUCUGAAAAAACUUAAUAAUUACAACUUUCAACAACGGAUCUCUUGGUUCUG